rnacentral:rRNA from 1 species
UACGUAGGGGUGCAAGCGUUGUCCGGAAUUACUGGGCGUAAAGGGCGCGUAGGCGGUCUUUUUAAGUUCCGUGUGAAAUCCCCUCGGCUCAACUGGGGAACGGCACGGGGAAACUGGAAGGCUUGAGUUUCGGGAGAGGGAAGCGGAAUUCCGGGUGUAGCGGUGAAAAUGCGUAGAUAUCCGGAGGAACACCGGUGCGAAGGCGGCUUCCUGGACCGACACUGACGCUGAGGCGCGAAACUGGGGGAGCAAACGGG